rnacentral:lncRNA from 1 species
UCAUCCACUCUCCAAAUUUCCAAAAACCACACAUAUAUAUGUGUGUAAAUCAAAUAAACCUCCUUUUUUCUCAAAAAUCGUGCAUCAAAACCCAAAUCCGUCAGUGCCAUUGGGUUCAGGACAGUCGAACCAUUGAAAACGAACUAUUGGAUCACUAUGAACAGAGUUCAAUACGCACCAGAAGCCAUCUCCAUUAAUUAGUCUCUUCGAAAAAUCGGAGUUACUAUUCAUUUUAAGUGAUUAGUACAGGUCGCGUAACUUCUUCAUCCUAACUCGUCUUUUCCUGAAACUUGACGAGUGCUUAUAUAAUUAAAUUACACACAAAAACAUCAUUAACAAAGGAUUUAUGUGCAUAGCAAAAAACUCAGUCCUC